UUGAAGAAUUUUAAAUUCUUUUGGUAUGGUAAGAUGAAUACUCCUCAGUGAAUGAUUGCCAGCACUGAAGACAGUCUUGGGUUGCUGGAGACAGAUUUGAGGAAUUGCAUAUCUGUUGGGGCAGCCAACAGGUGCAGUAGUUUGUGCAGCAGUUUCUGGACUGUGCUUUGAAAUCUUGUGGGUGUUCUGAAAGUUUCUUCUAGGAUUGACAGGACUCAGAGACAUUUGAGUAGUAUCAGUGUGCUGCUGCUGCGUGUGAGAAUGCUGCAGCCUCGAACAGGUCUGGCCUGUUCCUGAAGAAAGGGGGCUCUGUGCCACUGUUCAGCUUAUUCCUGGCUGAAGUGGACACGGGCCUUUUCAGUAGGUAUAGGGCAGCCCUCCAGAAGCACUGCCUGGCUGAGGACAUGGCUUCCCAAAGCAGCAGUCAGUGCAGGACGGAGGCAGGGACCUCGCUGUGAGCAGCAGACACAUGCCCUGCCAUGGUGAGGAUGUGGCACAGAACACAGACCCUAGAAGAGCUGGGUCAGUGGCCCCUGUGACAUCAGCAGCCUCAGCCUGAGUGCAGUUCUACAGGGCUGGGGCUGAGGAAUGCUGGGGACCUCUCAUCAGGGCUAGGGACGUAGGCUUUUGUGCCUAGGAGGAUCCAUGUUGUCCAUUAGCAGAGAUGUGGGAGGAUGAAAGGGGCUGUGCAUCAUCAGUGAUGACAAGAAAGAUCCACCAGAUCUUUUCCAGGACCCCGCAGGUCCAAAAGCUCCUCUGUCCUGAGGUACAGGCAGAGCCUGUUGGAUAGGAAAGCAGGACUCCCACUAUGGCAAAGGUAAAUGUUCAAGAGCUUAAUGUCUGUCAAGGGCAGGUUUGGUGCUGCUGAGGAUUCCUGAAGAGCAGCAGGGUUUUAAGCAAGGCUUCUCCCAGAAGAAUGCUGAUGAAAAGCGCAGCAUCCCAAUGCUCACUUCCAGAGUAUGAUUGAAUUGCAGUUGAAAAUGGGAUCA